rnacentral:rRNA from 1 species
AGUGAACGCUGGCGGUAGGCCUAACACAUGCAAGUCGAACGGCAGCACAGUAAGAGCUUGCUCUUACGGGUGGCGAGUGGCGGACGGGUGAGGAGUACAUCGGAAUCUACUUUUUCGUGGGGGCUAACGUAGGGAAACUUACGCUAAUACCGCAUACGACCUACGGGUGAAAGCAGGGGAUCUUCGGACCUUGCGCGAUUGAAUGAGCCGAUGUCGGAUUAGCUAGUUGGCGGGGUAAAGGCCCACCAAGGCGACGAUCCGUAGCUGGUCUGAGAGGAUGAUCAGCCACACUGGAACUGAGACACGGUCCAGACUCCUACGGGAGGCAGCAGUGGGGAAUAUUGGACAAUGGGCGCAAGCCUGAUCCAGCCAUACCGCGUGGGUGAAGAAGGUCUUCGGGUUGUAAAGCCCUUUUGUUGGGAAAGAAAAGCAGCAGGUUAAUACCCCGCUGUUCUGACGGUACCCAAAGAAUAAGCACCGGCUAACUUCGUG